GCGAUCUAGGUCGUCCCAGAGAGGCGAGCCUGCAUUGCCGCUGUCUGCUCCAGCCAGCCCAUCCAGAGAGACGAGCCCACCUGGGAGUUCCCUGCUGCACCGGCGGAAGCAGCGGCGAGUCCAGCGAGGCUGCCGCCUUGGACCUCCUUCCUCCUCUCUCCUCCGCAUCCACCAAGAAGAAGUGCACCGGCACCAUGUGUCAGUAAAUUACAAGUAUAGGGUGACCUGCAGACGAAACAAAUGGUUUGGGAGGCAUUGUUAGACUGGGCAAGCUUCCUGUUAACAUGUUCAUCACUUUUGCUGCCAAUGGGCGAUUCUUUGGGUUCCACUGGAUGCACCAAAAUGCCACAAUGGCCAGCUUUCUCAUUAUAUCUUUCUCCAUUUGCGUCAUUUGCCUAGUUGAUUCCAGUUCUUGCCCAGUGAUUAUUUUCCCAUAUAUCCACUCUGGAAUAUACACCUCGUUUUGGUUCUCAACCCAUGGAUCUGAGUUUCUUCUACCACUCACCAUUUCCAGCACUACCAUGCCAAAGCUAUAAACAUCUGACUUGUAGGAAACUGUCCCAAAGUUCCGAGAAUAUAAUUCUGGGGCGAUCUAGCCCAGUGUUCCUCUAGCUGCGGUAAGUGUAACAAUACUUUCAUCUCUUGAACACAGCUUUGCAAGCCCAAAAUCUGAAAUCUUUGGAUUGAAGCUGUAAUCUAGCAAGAUGUUGUGAGGCUUGAUGUCAAAAUGGAGGAUGCGCUGAUUGCACCCCUGAUGCCAAAAUGGAGGAUGCGCUGAUUGCACCCCUGAUGCAGGUACUCCAUUCCUCGUGCAAUGCCCGAUGCUAUUUCAAGCAUUUUGUUAGGUGUUAAUAGUUCUCGGCAAAUAUCAGAUUCAUGUGCGAAUAUAUAUUUCUCAAGUGAUUCAUUAGGCAUGAAUUCGUAAAUAAGAGCACGCCUUGUUCCUUCGGAGCAAAACCCCAAAAGGUGAACCACAUUGGCAUGGUGGAUUCUAUCAAUGGUUGCAACUUCAUUUAUGAAGUCCUGUCCAUUACUGUUCGAGUCCUCCAGCAUCUUUACUGCCACAGGUACUCCAUUUGCCAACCGACCUUUGUAUACGCUUCCAAAUCCACCCUGACCCAGUUUAUCUUUGAAUCGUCUUGUUACCUUUUUAACUUCCGAGAAUGUGUACCUUGUUGGUUUUGAUGUGCCGUAUGCCUUGAGAAACAUUUCUAUUUUCAAACGUAUCUCUUCAUCAGCCUUUGAUUUUAGGGAUAGAUAUAGUGCAGUGGCUGCCGUCAACAAGAGAACCACAAAUGUGGCCGCCGAUGAUGUUGCUGAAUGAACACAAUGUGGGGAAACAGUGAAUCAUACUUGGAUUAAAAAGACUAAGUCCUGCCUCUUAUGUACGCAAGAAUAAGAGCGAUAACUAAAAAGAUGUAUGCAUAAUACCUGCAAUCACUUUGGCACAUGAACCUGCGCAUAGGAAAUAAGCAAUUUAGAUUUUAAGGGCAGAAUAAUACAAUAUAGAUAAAUUAUUAUUCUGUUACAAGAAAGUAAAAAAAAUAAUGCUAGUACUGUCUUUUUUAGGCCAUGCUGGAGAGCUUCAUGUAUCUCUACUCCUAAUGGAGCAGUUGGUGAAUAGUCUUCACGGUUUAUUUUUGUUGGUUUUUCCGCACCCCACCCCAUCCCACGCAGCCACGCAAAAAACCCCGCACCCAGAAAAAAAAUACUCCAUCCAGCCCAACCUUCCUUGCCCACUCCUCUCGAUCCCAUCGUUCGUGGCCGCCGCCUUCCGAGGGGAGUCGCCGCCGCCGCGUCUCUCGAUCCCAUCGGCCCCGUCGGAUCUCGCCGCUGGCGGACGACUCGAGAAGACCCCGCCGGAUCUCACCCUCGUCGUCAGUUCUGGAUCGCCGCCGCCGCCGAUCCCCUCCGGAAAACAACGCCGAUCCCCUGCUGCCGCGGAUGGAGGCCGCCUGCUCGCGAUCCCCAAACCUGCUGGCGCCGCGCUCCGUAGGAUCCAAGUACGCCCCUCUCCGUGGUGUUCACUGAUUGCUUGGAGCAACAACGUGCUGUUGGAGUUGCCGAAGCAUUAGGUGAUUCGAUUGUGUGCGUUUGCUGGAUUUGUUUGACGAAGGAAAGAUGACGAUGAAGGACACACAGAGGAGUGUGAGCGGUGAUGGUACCAAGGUUACCGGCAGGUAUGCAUGCAGGAACUGACUGUACAGUGUUCCUAUAAUGCUACUGGUUUUAACGUCUGUACUGUGAUGCUACUGGCAGUUUAAAUAAAUCUGCUAUCAUUUGGGAUGUGAGUUGUCACAACUCGCUGUGCUCUGGUGUUCAGCUCAGAAUUUCUUUUGGGAAUGAUUCCUCUGAAUAGACUACUUAUGCUUGACAUUUUACUUUUGUUAUUUCUAUUUGUAACUCAAUUUCGGUAUCCUCUCAAAUUGACAAUACUUUUUCUGGAUAUGGUAGUUGAGAAUAGUUAUGGUAUAUAGCGGAGUUAGCCCAUCCUCACCAAUGACUCUUCCUCAGGGAUUUGCUGAACUAGAGUUAGUAAUGGGGGUAUUGCAGACUGUUUAGAAUUAUGGGGGUAUUGCAGACUUUAGAAACUGAAUUAAAUUUUUGUGCAAUUGAAAAAGGUGUAUACAACUUGAAUUUAUUAGGUAGUAUAGGAGAGAUAUGAAAUUUUAAAAUUGUUAGUCAGAUUUGUGUGUUGUUUUGGGUAGUAUUCAGUUUUGUUCCAUCUUAGAGGCCAAUAAUGCACAUGUGAUAUUAUCUACAUAAUUCAGUUUAUACGGCUUCCCAUAUUCCAAUGGUUGUAUUUUGCUAAAUUGCCAUCUACUUACUGGAAUUCUCACAAAUAGAAGUGCAGUCAGAAGGUAAAAAGGAUGGUAUGGUAUGUCUCCAUUCACAUGGUACUGAACUGUUAGUGAUUCUUUGUGUUAUUCUGCAGACUUGAACUUAGUUUCUAUGGUUUUCUUUUUCUGUUCAUAGACGAGAGUAUAGUCUGAAGGGAAAAAUUGGUAUGCUCUGAAGGGUGUGCAAGAACAGUGAGAUUUAUAUUACUGAAUGUAUUGUUAACAAUUUGUUAUUUUGCAGACUUGCUCUCAGUUUUUAUUCUUGGCAGGUGAUUCUUCAUGAUAAUUUUUUGUAGAGGAACAUUUUUGCGAUGGGGCCGGGAACGGUGAUCGGUGGUGCUGGUGUCGGCAGUGCGGUACAAGGUCAGGAUGCGGGAUGGGACGGCCAUCCGUGUGAGGCAGUCGGCGGCGAGGGUUUGUGGCAUCACGAGGAGCGCCCACGGAUUCAAGGUGUUGGCCCGAGACCUCCGACGAGGGAGGAGACGAUGUUAGUAUUUCCAUAGGAAAAAAAAAUAGAAGAAGAACAAGAACAACGACGGCAAUCUCGGGUUCCAGGUACGAUGGAGCCGGCGGCGAAGCGCAUGGUGCUCGCAAACGUGAUAGUGGAUGGCGACGAUACCCUCAACUGCGGCAUCUGCUACCUCCCUCUCAAGCCACCAGUCUUCUAGUGUGGCGUCGGUCAUACCAUAUCCUCGCGGUGCCGCGACAAGAUGGUGGCGGCAAGGAGGUGCCGUGUGUGUCACAUCCGGUUGACCGGCGGCUAUCGCUGGAACAUCGCACUGGAGAGGCUAACAGAGUCCAUCCGGGUGCCGUGCGCCAACGCCGCCCACGGCUGCACUGCCACGCCGGCCUACUAUGACCACCCCGAUCACCUCAAGGCGUGCCCUCACGACGCCGUGCUAUUGCCCGCAGGCAGACUGCGGUUUCGCUAGCUCCACGGUGGCACUCCUGGACCACUUUGCCGACACGCACGGGUGGCCGUGCAUGACUGAGCUUGGGCCUGGGUGUGCAUCGAGGUCCAGCUCUGUGACGGCUUCAACGCCUUCUCGGCCCGUGCCCAAUGCCGGCAGUACCUGUUCCUGCUGAACGUGGCGUUGAACCCGUUUGGCCGAGCGGUCUCCGUGCUCUCCCUGCAUCCUCGGGCGUUGUCGGCGGCGCCAUGUUCUUUGGAGUUCGAGGUAAGACUCAGGUACUGCUGCAACAUCAACCACCGUGGCGACACCAGGAAACUACGUUUAAAGUAGGGUGCACCGAUCUCUCCGAACUCAGAUUUAUGACAAGGACACAAGCAAAUUUAUAGCAUCCGUUGUGAUGAUACAAGGGAAGUAAGCAUAGAUGCGCUCAACGUGAUGAUAGGUGGGAGAGCUCGGCCUAUGCUGCCAACUGAUCUGCAGCGGUGCAGAAGGAGAUUUCAAAAGCAGGGCAAGCGAGAGCGACUGUUCUAUUGAUGGUCAAAAGGGAGGGCUUGGCAAGAGAGAUUGAGGGAGCUCUACUACCUCGAUCUUGGCAUAGAACCUGAUGGCAUCAUGCCCAGGAAACUUCCUUCUUCAGUAUGUAUGGGGAUUUAUAUGACACCAAAAGAGAAGUCCGGCGUGUUUCUUGGUUCUAUGGAACCCCUCGACCGGAAGCAAAUAGAUCACAUCGCAAGUUGCUUGCCCAAUAUAAUCGUGCCGCAAGUUACCAACAUCGCGUGCUUAUACACCAUCGACUUUGCUGGAAAUCUAUCUGUCCGUGCUCCACCGUCUGUCGGAACUUCUUCUGCCCAUGCUACACCUGAGCUCAACACUGCAUCGCCCGGUUCGUUUGCUUGCUUCCUUUGCUUGGCUCAGGAAGGAGAAGGCCAGGACUAGCGACAAGAACCUAAGGGUCUUGCGUCACGGCCUUUGCCCAGAAGGCGAAGAACUAAAACUAUUUUUUUUUUACCUUCCAAAAAAUUACAUGAUACAUAACUACUCCUUCCGUUCAGAAAUACUUGUCAUCAAAAUGGACAAAAGAAGACAUAUCUAGACGUAUUUUAGUUUUAGAUACAUUCUUUUUUGUCCAUUUUGAUGACAAGUAUUUUCGGGCGGAGGGAGUAUUAUUAGACUUUAGAUCUCAACCAUUAUAAUCUAGACCAAUUGAUCUUUGCCCCGUUUUUUCUGGUAUGUAUACUACAAAUCUAUUUUCCAAUCCAAGUACAAAAAGUUUUUUUUUAAAGAGCUGAGUAAGUUAUAAGAAAGAAGCAGGAGUCCGACUUCUCCAUUUGGUAUUGAACAUAAUCACAUGUAUUUUGAUUA